UCUCCUCCGCUAGCCGGCGCGGGGCAGGGGGCGGGCCCUCCGCGAGGGGUAGGGAAGGGGCGGAGCGGCCAGGCCACCGGCCGGGACCUCCAUUGGGCGAGCCACGCUGAGGGAUCCACCUAAGAGCCAAUCAAAGGCACAAACAUCAGACGCAGGGGCGGGAUCGCCAUAGGGACCCUCUUUGGAGGUCAGAGCCCGGCGGGGUGCGGCUAGUGGCGGAGCGCACUGCGAGGGGAGGGAUUUCCACUGUCGCUGGCGUGAACUCGAGUGCCCGGUGGAUAUCAGGGAAGAAUCCCCGCCCCAGACCUCCAGAUCUGCCAUGGCCGAGGUAGCGAUCGUCUCUGCUGCAACGAAGACUGUUUUAACUUGUACCACUUUGCCUUCCAUUUUUCCUGGGGUGCCUCUCACCCUGCAUCUGCGCCUUCAGAAAGCUGGAUUUCGGGAAUGCUCACUUAAGAAGAGAAAAAAUUGCCGGGAAUCAAGUCCUUCUUUUUGUUAGUCGGUAGUCGAUUGAUGGGAAGUGUUCAAAAUCAUUUGAUGUGGUGACAAGGGGCUGGGAGCCCAAGAUCACGGCACUGGCAGAUUCAUUUGUUUGAUAUGGGCCACAUCCUCCUGAGGGGAGGAACAUAUUGGCUUCACAUGGUAGAAGGCAGAAGGCCAGCUAUCGGUUCCACCUGACAUUAUAUGUGUAAACAGAAAUUUGCAAUAAUAAAGAUAUGACCAAGGUGCUACGGGGCACUGACAAAACGCUUCAUGCUGCCUAGAGCAGUCAGUGAAGGCUCCCCAGAGGAGAUGACGUUUGAGCCGAGUUUCAGAAGAUGAUUGGAGUUUACCACGUGUUCACAGGAAGCAACAAGAAUGAGGGCAUUCCAGUAGCAGGAGACAGCAUGCAUAGAGAUGCUGAAUGAAGAAAGAGCCUAGCGCACGUGGGAAACCGCAAAAGUUCAGACUCGUUGGAAUGCUGGAAAUGUUGUGAAUGACAGGAGAUGAGGCUGGCGAGAAAACAGAGGUCAGAUUGUGGAAGGUUGUCAAGCCAAAGACUUUGAUUUUAUUCUUGAGAUUGAUGAGAUGUGUGUAAUCCAGGAGUGUGCAAGACAAUCUGUAAGGGUUCAGAAAACACACUGCUUCUAUAUAGAGUUACCUUUGCCUUAACUUGAAAAUUUCAAAUUGUGUAGGAGUUACAAUGCGUAUAAUUGUUAUUAUAGUACUGGAUCCAAAUAAUUUAUAAAUAAAUAAAUAUAGACAUAA